CCUGCCUCUCCUAGUACAACUUUUGCUUUCUGCUGAAUUUCCUGUUCCAUAUAGCAAGUCCACAGCAGGAAGCCAGGUAUUCAAUAUUGCAUAGUUGGAGGGUAUCACAACAGCCUCAUCUGGUUUCAUCUUUUUGCCCUCAGAACACAGAAAUCUGAUGUCUUUCAGCUUACAACACCCACUUACAGCCAAACUGAGAGGAGGAACACCAGUCAGAGGUCGCAGGGAACACACUCUCAGCCUUGAGGAAGAAAUGAAUUUAUACAAAAUGGUCACAUCUAACAAAACAGUGCUCAGAAGAGGACAAGAAUGUCAAGCACUUCUAUAAAGCAGCUAAGAAACAUUGGCAAGGAGUGGUUUGCUGAGAGACAUCACUUUGCUAUUUUGCUGCUACAAUUCUUAUAGCUUACUCCAAAGGGAACUAAUAUGCACAGGAUUCACACGGUAAG